CCCUUAGAUGUUCUGGGCCGCACGCGUGCUACACUGAGUCAAUCAAUGGGUAAGGGAACACGAAAGUGCAACCUAAUCUUGAAAUUUGCUCGUGAUGGGGAUCGACGGUUGCAAUUUUCCGUCGUGAACGAGGAAUACCUUGUAGGCGCGUGUCAUCAUCACGCGCCGAAUACGUCCCUGCCCUUUGUACACACCGCCCGUCGCUCCUACCGAUUGAAUGCUCAGGUGAGCCAUUCGGACUUUCAUCAUGCUGGUUUCCAGUUUUGAUGAAGGAAAGUCUUGCGAACCUUAUCAUUUAGAGGAAGGAGAAGUCGUAACA
rnacentral:rRNA from 1 species